rnacentral:rRNA from 1 species
UACGUAGGCAGCAAGCGUUGUUCGGAGUUACUGGGCGUAAAGGGUGUGUAGGCGGUUCCUUAAGUUUUUUGUGAAAUCUCCCGGCUUAACCGGGAGGGUGCGGUGAAUACUGAGGGACUAGAGUACGGGAGAGGAAAGUGGAAUUCCUGGUGUAGCGGUGAAAUGCGUAGAUAUCAGGAGGAACACCGGUGGUGUAGACGGCUUUCUGGACCGUAACUGACGCUGAGACACGAAAGCGUGGGUAGCAAACAGG